UUCCGAAAGAUUCCUCCAUUAGUUCAUUCCAAAACACCAGAAGGAAACAACGGUCGAUCUGGUGAUCCAAGACCUCAAGCAGCAGAGCCUCCCGAUCACUUAACAAUUACAAGGCGGAGAACCUGGAGCAGGGAUGAAGUCAUGGGAGAUAAUCUGCUGCUGUCAUCCGUCUUUCAGUUCUCUAAGAAGAUAAGACAAUCUAUAGAUAAGACAGCUGGAAAGAUCAGGUACAUGUACAUAUAGCUUUAACUUUAAUAUCACCUCACUUUGCUUUUUGCUUUUUCUCAAGGUUAAAAAUGUAUCAUCAGAAUGAAUAUGUUUACCUUUGGAAAAAUUUGUCCCAAAGUAAAUAUCUAUCCAGUACUACUUUAUAACUUUAAAUUUAUUAGUAAUUCAAAACAUAAAUAGACUUACAGAUUUUAUUCAACAGUACUUCAGAAAUCCAUGCUGCUAUUGCUUAUUUCUGAUUCCUAUAAUUAAAAUUUAAAAUGUAAUGAAACAGUAUUUGAACAUGGUUUGUGAAUUGUAAUAUUCCACACAAAUAUAAUUCUAUAUUGCUUAUAUAUUGAAAUAAUAUAUUUUAUCAGCAUUUGAUGAGUACCAAGAAGCCAUUAAAUU
rnacentral:lncRNA from 1 species